CUCACUUUGAGGCCAGGCAGUUUCCUCCCGGGCCCCCGGCUGCCACGCUGGGGAGACAGGCAGGCCCCGCCAUAUGAGGCCUGGGACUUGGGGGUGAUUUCAUGUCUGGAGGUUGGGCCAGGAGGCCCUCGGCAGGGGUGAUUCUGGGAUCCUGGGCCCCACCCUUCAGAGCUUCAUUUGGCCGCAAGGGUUCUGGUCUAGGAGACUCCUGGUCCAGAUGCGCCCUGGGCCUGCCCUGGCCUCGUCAGAGUCCAGCUCAUCCUGGCCCCUUCCAGAGCCACCAGCCGCGCUGACCUCUCGCUCCCCUCUUGGGCCGCUCUUGCCUCCUGGAAUGUGACCAAAUUAGGCGUCUGGUGACUAACUUUCCUGCCCGAGCUCCACCUCCAGUUGGUCAAAGGAUUUCCCUUCCUUGAGGGCUCCCCUAGUCCGGUUCUAACUUCUCCCCUAGGGAGUGCAGGGAGGUCCUCAGCUCGCCUCUCAAUCUGGGCCUGCCCCUGGCCUGCUUGGGAGCCCCCAAGGCUCUCGGAAGCUUUUCACGGGAACAACUUUACAGUCGAAUCUUGCAGGCACGCAGUGGGUUUGUUAAUGCACGCAUAGGGCUUUUCUUCAGCCAGGCAGAAGGUCUCCGGGCUGGGUUCCACUGAUCCCAGCAGGGGGUCCGCUUGGGGAUGGAGCGCUGUGUCACUCCGCUGGAGACCUCCCUUAGAAUUGAGACUGUCAGCCCUUCACCAACCUCCUUAGCCAAACAUUGUUCUUACUUUUGCAGUUGGGGAAAUUGGGCUGUUGUAUUUCAGGAAUGCACUUGAAAAGGAGCCUGGUGAUCCCUGGCCUGGCACGCUGAGGCCCUGCCUGGGCUGGCGUGUGCUGUGCCGGGUAAAGCACGGAAUUACACGGUCACCUAACGUGACUCAAACCCUGGUCCCAGCUCUUCCUCGCUGUGUGGCCCCAGGCACGUUCUUUAACUCUUCUGAGCCUGCUCACCUCGUCUCUAAAGUGGGGGUCACAAUGUCCAUCCCGUGGGGUGGGAGGUGAGUGUGAAGCGAGAUUGCACAGGUGGAUCUGGUGGCAUGGGGUCUGGUGCAGAGGGCGUUCACGGCUGUGGAGCUGGUGGCACGGGGUCUGGUGCAGAGGGCAUUCACGGCUGUGGAGCUGCUGUCACGUAUGAUGUCUCUGUCACACCCAACAGUGACGGGAACCGGGCCCUCCACACCCCGAUACGUGCCGCCCGGAGCUUCUGCCGUGUGUGCCAUGUCCUUUGGGUCCCCGUGGGCCCGGUGGGCCUGCAGUCAUCCUGCAAUGCUGCCUCCUCCUCCUCUUCAAGGCCCUGAGUACAGCGGCUAGAAAUGAGGCCUCCCCUCCUAUCCUCCUAUUCCCCAAGCCAAGCGUCUCCCCACCUGUGGCUGGCCCCUGAGAACUCCCUGACGAGGGACGAGGUGCCUCUCAGCAGCCCCCAGUUUUGGAAAAGUGACAGACGUCCCCAUGGACGCAGCCUGCCCUGUGGCCCUCCCUCGAUCUGCCGGGCAAUUACUGUGUGCAUCACACUCCAAAACCUGGUGGCAUGAAACAGCCGCCUCAUGUUCUCUACGGAUGCUGCAGAGCAGACCUCAGACGGGGCCAGCUUCCUCCCAGCGUGGUGGCCCCAGCAGAACCAGACUUCCUUCAAGGCGGCUGAGGACUCCAAAAGCCGGUUGGUUCCAGCCACCCAGGUGUAAGGCUGAAGAAAUCACAACAGGAAGCUGUCACGAAGAUAGACAACCCUGGCAUCAACUCUCUGCAUUGAAGGAG